rnacentral:rRNA from 1 species
AGUGAACGCUGGCGGUAGGCCUAACACAUGCAAGUCGAACGGCAGCACAGAGGAGCUUGCUCCUUGGGUGGCGAGUGGCGGACGGGUGAGGAAUACAUCGGAAUCUACUCUGUCGUGGGGGAUAACGUAGGGAAACUUACGCUAAUACCGCAUACGACCUACGGGUGAAAGCAGGGGAUCUUCGGACCUUGCGCGAUUGAAUGAGCCGAUGUCGGAUUAGCUAGUUGGCGGGGUAAAGGCCCACCAAGGCGCGGAUCCGUAUCUGGUCUGAGAGGCUGGUCAGCCACAAUGGAACUGAGAAGCGGUCCAGACUCCUACGGGAGGCAGGAGUGGGGAAUAUUGGACAAUGGGCGCAAGCCUGAUCCAGCCAUACCGCGUGGGUGAAGAAGGCCUUCGGGUUGUAAAGCCCUUUUGUUGGGAAAGAAAUCCAUCUGGUUAAUACCCGGGUGGGAUGACGGUACCCAAAGGAUAAGCACCGGCUAACUUCGUGCCAGCCGCCGCCGUAA